rnacentral:rRNA from 1 species
GACGAACGCUGGCGGCGUGCUUAACACAUGCAAGUCGAACGGAAAGGCCCUGCUUUUGUGGGGUGCUCGAGUGGCGAACGGGUGAGUAACACGUGAGUAACCUGCCCUUGACUUUGGGAUAACUUCAGGAAACUGGGGCUAAUACCGGAUAGGAGCUCCUGCUGCAUGGUGGGGGUUGGAAAGUUUCGGCGGUUGGGGAUGGACUCGCGGCUUAUCAGCUUGUUGGUGGGGUAGUGGCUUACCAAGGAUUUGACGGGUAGCCGGCCGUCGAGGGUGACAGGGCCAAUUGGGACUGAGAUACGGCCCAAACUCCUCCGGGAGGCAGCAGUGGGGAAUAUUGCACAAUGGGCUGAAGACUGAUGCAGCAACGCCGCGGGCGAGAUGACGGCCUUCGGGUUGUAAACCGCUUUCGCCUGUGACGAAGCGUGAGUGACGGUAAUGGGUAAAGAAGCACCGGCUAACUACGUG